rnacentral:rRNA from 1 species
GGAAUAUUGGUCAAUGGACGAGAGUCUGAACCAGCCAAGUAGCGUGCAGGAUGACGGCCCUAUGGGUUGUAAACUGCUUUUAUGCGGGGAUAAAGUCGGCUACGCGUAGCCGUUUGUAGCUACCGCAUGAAUAAGGACCGGCUAAGUCCGUGCCAGCAGCCGCGGUAAUACGGAAGGUCCGGGCGUUAUCCGGACUUAUUGGGUUUAAAGGGAGCGCAGGCCGGAGGUCAAGCGUGACGUGAAAUGUAGGGGCUCAACCUUUGAAUUGCGUCGCGAACUGGCUUUCUUGAGUGAGUACGACGUCAGCGGAAUUCGUGGUGUAGCGGUGAAAUGCUUAGAUAUCACGAAGAACCCCGAUUGCGAAGGCAGCUGACGAGUCCUUAACUGACGCUAAAGCUCGAAGGUGCGGGUAUCGAACA